AAUCAACGCUGGCGGCGUGCCUCAGACAUGCAAGUCGAACGCGAAAGUCCCCUUCGGGGGGCAAGUAGAGUGGCGCACGGGUGAGUAACACGUAGGUAAUCUACCUUUGGAUUGGGAAUAACAACCGGAAACGGUUGCUAAUACCGAAUAAUGCAGCGGCACCUAAUGGUGACAGUUGUUAAAGCGGGGGAUCGCAAGACCUCGCGUCUGAAGAGGAGCCUGCGGCAGAUUAGCUAGUUGGUAAGGUAACGGCUUACCAAGGCGAUGAUCUGUAGCCGGCCUGAGAGGGCGGUCGGCCACACUGACACUGACAUACGGGUCAGACUCCUACGGGAGGCAGCAGUCGGGAAUUUUGGGCAAUGGGCGAAAGCCUGACCCAGCAACGCCGCGUGAAGGAUGAAAUCCCUCGGGAUGUAAACUUCGCAAGAACGGGAAGAAUAAGUAAGAGUUAAUAUCUCUUAUGAUGACGGUACUGUUUGUAAGCUCCGGCUAACUCCGUGC
rnacentral:rRNA from 1 species